GGAUCGUAAAGCUCUGUUGUUAGGGAAGAACAAGUGCGAGAGUAACUGCUCGCACCAUGACGGUACCUAACCAGAAAGCCACGGCUAACUACGUGCCAGCAGCCGCGGUAAUACGUAGGUGGCAAGCGUUGUCCGGAAUUAUUGGGCGUAAAGGGCUCGCAGGCGGUUUCUUAAGUCUGAUGUGAAAGCCCCCGGCUCAACCGGGGAGGGUCAUUGGAAACUGGGAAACUUGAGUGCAGAAGAGGAGAGUGGAAUUCCACGUGUAGCGGUGAAAUGCGUAGAGAUGUGGAGGAACACCAGUGGCGAAGGCGACUCUCUGGUCUGUAACUGACGCUGAGGAGCGAAAGCGUGGGGAGCGAACAGGAUUAGAUACCCUGGUAGUCCACGCCGUAAACGAUGAGUGCUAAGUGUUAGGGGGUUUCCGCCCCUUAG
rnacentral:rRNA from 1 species